rnacentral:lncRNA from 1 species
AGAGAGGACUGUCUAAAUGCUUGUUGAGUUAUUAAGGAGAAGAUAAUCUUACAGUCCUUCUUCAGAGACUGAAGUCGAAUUGCCGAUUGUUGUAAAUGUCAGUUGUCUCUUCUUGUUCCAUCAGUAGACAGUCCGCAAAAUACAUCUCUGGUCGUGGCAAUGGUCUUGUUUAAGAGAAUCAAGAACUCAACAACAAGAAGAUUAAUCAGUCAAUUAGAUACAAAGAUUCAAAGUGUUAAUAAGCAAAUCGUAGUUUAUAGCUUAACAUAUGUCGAAUCUAAUCAGUGAAAUCCAAAAAUCUUUGUAUCAUAGCUUAAAAGUCGAAUCCAAUCAGAGAAACCGAAAAAUCUUCGCAUUAUAGCUUAAAAGUCGAAUCCAAUCAGAGAAACCAAAAAAACUAUAAAUUCCGAGAGUAUCGACAAACUUCACCUCGUCUGGUUGUCGCUUCAAUUGUUUUCAUCGGUUUGAAACCAUAUCUCCCUUCAAUUGAUACGCGAUUGAAAAAAAAAAAAAAAAAAAAAAAACUUCAUGACAUACGACGGUGUUUUCAAAUCCGUGGAGGGGAGUGAAAAAAAUAAAUGAAAAAGAAAAAUUCCAAAAAAUCAGCCAAUAGAAUUAUAAGGAUUUUCCCGAGAAGCUCUAUAUGAGUGCCACGUCAGCAGAAAUCACUAAAGUGACUUCUCUUUUAAUUUUUAGGAGGAUAAUUCUCUAGCUUGGGUAAAAUCGUGGAUAUCUACGAAAUGAUUCCUUUCUACGUACACGACUUUUCAUCAAAUACGAAUGGUUAGUACAAUUAAUAGUCCAUCCGUUCCUAAAAGAUCUAUGUUUUAGAAUUUU